GUUAACCCAUGAAAAAAAACAGAAGAAAAAUGAAAAAAAAAUUCAUUCGAAAUACAGUACAACAGCUUACCAUUGUGAAAGUGAUAAAAAAACCUUUUCCGGUUUUUCUGCCCAAAUGUCCUUUGGCAACCAUUUCUUCGAUUAUCGGUGAUUUAUGUAUGGUUAGUGUUGGAUCACCACGUUUUUCCCAUGCAUCCAUUAUGAAUUUUGUCGUAUCCAAUCCGGUUAAAUCUAAUUCGAAUCAUUAAAAAAAGUUCAAAUGGUCCCAUUGGAUAACCGGCUCCCAAUUUCAUUGCCGUAUCAAUAUCUUCGAUAGUAGCAUCACCACGUUCAACCAUUUUG